rnacentral:rRNA from 1 species
CUUGCCCGCUGGCGGCAUGCUUUACACAUGCAAGUCGAACGGCAGCGCGGGCUUCGGCCUGGCGGCGAGUGGCGAACGGGUGAGUAAUGCAUCGGAACGUGCCCAGUAGUGGGGGAUAGCCCGGCGAAAGCCGGAUUAAUACCGCAUACGACCUGAGGGUGAAAGCGGGGGACCGAAAGGCCUCGCGCUAUUGGAGCGGCCGAUGUCGGAUUAGCUAGUUGGUGGGGUAAAGGCUUACCAAGGCGACGAUCCGUAGCUGGUCUGAGAGGACGACCAGCCACACUGGGACUGAGACACGGCCCAGACUCCUACGGGAGGCAGCAGUGGGGAAUUUUGGACAAUGGGGGCAACCCUGAUCCAGCCAUGCCGCGUGCGGGAAGAAGGCCUUCGGGUUGUAAACCGCUUUUGUUCGGGAAGAAAUCCUCUGGGCUAAUACCCCGGGGGGAUGACGGUACCGGAAGAAUAAGCACCGGCUAACUACGUG